rnacentral:rRNA from 1 species
GGUUAAGCGACUAAGCGUACACGGUGGAUGCCCUGGCAGUCAGAGGCGAUGAAGGACGUGCUAAUCUGCGAUAAGCGUCGGUAAGGUGAUAUGAACCGUUAUAACCGGCGAUUUCCGAAUGGGAAACAG